rnacentral:rRNA from 1 species
GAUGAACGCUAGCGGCAGGCUUAAUACAUGCAAGUCGUGGGGCAGCAUGAAGUAGCAAUACUUUGAUGGCGACCGGCAAACGGGUGCGGAACACGUACACAACCUUCCUUUUAGUGGGGAAUAGCCCAGAGAAAUUUGGAUUAAUACCCCGUAACAUAGCGAUGUGGCAUCACAUUGCUAUUACAGCUUCGGCGCUAGAUGAUGGGUGUGCGUAUGAUUAGAUAGUUGGCGAGGUAACGGCUCACCAAGUCUACGAUCAUUAGCUGAUGUGAGAGCAUGAUCAGCCACACGGGCACUGAGACACGGGCCCGACUCCUACGGGAGGCAGCAGUAAGGAAUAUUGGUCAAUGGACGAAAGUCUGAACCAGCCAUGCCGCGUGAAGGAUUAAGGUCCUCUGGAUUGUAAACUUCUUUUAUAUGGGACGAAAAAAGGUCUUUCUAGAUCACUUGACGGUACCAUAUGAAUAAGCACCGGCUAACUUCGUGCCAGCCGCCGCAGUAAAAC